rnacentral:rRNA from 1 species
UACAGAGGGUGCGAGCGUUGUCCGGAAUCACUGGGCGUAAAGGGCGCGUAGGUGGUGGCUUAAGCGUGCGGUGAAAGCUCGGGGCUCAACCCCGAGUCGGCCGUGCGAACUGGGCUCACUGGAGCAUAGUAGAGGCAGGUGGAAUUCCGGGUGUAGCGGUGGAAUGCGUAGAGAUCGGAAAGAACACCAACGGCGGAAAGCACUCUGCUGGGCCGACACUGACACUGAGAGACGAAAGCUAGGGGAGCGAAUGGG